rnacentral:rRNA from 1 species
GACGAACGCUGGCGGCGUGCUUAACACAUGCGAGUCGAACGGAAAGGCUCUGCUUUUGUGGGGUGCUCGAGCGGCGAACGGGUGAGUAACACGUGGGUAACCUGCCCUUGACUUUGGGAUAACUUCAGGAAACUGGGGCUAAUACCGGAUAGGAGCUCCUGCUGCAUGGUGGGGGUUGGAAAGUUUCGGCGGUUGGGGAUGGACUCGCGGCUUAUCAGCUUGUUGGUGGGGUAGUGGCUUACCAAGGCUUUGACGGGUAGCCGGCCUGAGAGGGUGACCGGCCACAUUGGGACUGAGAUACGGCCCAGACUCCUACGGGAGGCAGCAGUGGGGAAUAUUGCACAAUGGGCGGAAGCCUGAUGCAGCAACGCCGCGUGCGGGAUGACGGCCUUCGGGUUGUAAACCGCUUUCGCCUGUGACGAAGCGUGAGUGACGGUAAUGGGUAAAGAAGCACCGGCUAACUACGUG